rnacentral:sRNA from 1 species
GGGCACUCCACAGAAGGAUGUUAUUAUCAAGUCAGAUGCACCAGACACUCUCUUAUUGGAGAAACAUGCAGAUUAUAUCGCAUCCUAUGGCUCAAAAAAAGAUGAUUAUGAAUACUGUAUGUCUGAGUAUUUGAGAAUGAGUGGCAUCUAUUGGGGUCUAACAGUAAUGGAUCUCAUGGGACAACUUCAUCGCAUGAAUAGAGAAGAGAUUCUGGCAUUUAUUAAGUCUUGCCAACAUGAAUGUGGUGGAAUAAGUGCUAGUAUCGGACAUGAUCCUCAUCUUUUAUACACUCUUAGUGCUGUCCAGGUAAAUACUAAUUAAAAUUGCAACGAUCUUGGUAGUAUGUUCUCUUACUUCAGAAUUGGAAAUUGAAACUGUAUCAGGAUUUGGUCAAAAAGUUUUGUUACAAGUGAAGCUGUCCUACAAGGUCAAUGAUGUAAUGGCAUGUAUUAGCUGAAUCCAAAGUUGAUGUGAGUUCUAAAAUUACACUGAGACCUUGGAGGGUAAAAUUUUAUCUUCGGUAUGUGUAAAUACUGUAAAAUAGCUAAAUGGAGCUAUUUGAUUUUGAUAUUAGUGAACUACCUGGUGGUUUAAAGUCUUUCCGGUACUGGGUGCUGAGAUGGGAAGAUAGGACUUUGUGUGUAUGUGAGUUAGUAUACUUGCGAGUUAGUAUGUGAGUAUCUUGGAAUGCCAAGUUAAAAUUUAUAUGUAGAAAAUUAUACUUUAAAGAUUUGGGUUUUCUUGAUAAUAUCUGUAAUUUUAUUCAAUAACAGGAGAGUCUGCAUAUUUGAGAAAAGGUUAUACACAGAGAAAAAAGGAUGUGCUUGACAUCUUUAAAAGAGUUGAGCAUAAGAUCAUUAGAAUAAACCUGAAAGGGGCAUUUACCUAAUACUUGUCUUUAUUGCAGAUUCUUACGCUGUAUGACAGUAUUAAUGUUAUCGAUGUAAAUAAAGUUGUGGAAUAUGUUAAAGGUCUACAGAAAGAAGAUGGUUCUUUUGCUGGAGAUAUUUGGGGUAAUGUCAGAUUUAGUCCAUUCUACCCAAAAUACCAAUAAUAAAAUGUACUGGUUUUGCUAGUAACCAGUUUAUAAGUUUUUCAUCUUUUCAGGUCCCACUAAGCAGCUGGUCUAACUGGAGUUAAUGGUCUGCUGGAACUUCCAGCAUGCACUGUGGUAGUUAUAUCAGCAUACAGGAGCACUGGAACAGAGGGGGCCAGUCUAAAAGAUAAGGUAGGUGGAAUUUUUUUCCCCAAUAUUUGGUGGCUUUGUAAAGUUUUUUAAAAACUACUUGCUGGAAAGGGAAAAAUAUUAAAAAAAAACUUUACAAACUUACUGAAUAUUUGAGUGGAGGGAGGGAAUAGAAUUUUAUUUGAUAAACGUAGAUAAUCUCUGCUUUAGGGAUGAACACAGUGCAGGCCAGAGAGACCAGCUGCUUCAUGGGAUGUGAAAAUUCUACUUUUAUAAAGUAGGGAGAAAUUGACACAAGAUUCUCUUUUUGUGCGGUGGCAACUUUGGCUUUGUUGGGGAAGCUUGAUGCUAUUAAUGUGGAAAAGGCAAUCGAAUUUGUUUUAUCCUGUAUGAACUUUGACGGUGGAUUUGGUUGCAGACCAGGUUCUGAAUCCCAUGCUGGGCAGAUCUAUUGUUGCACAGGAUUUCUGGCUAUUACAAGUCAGUUGCAUCAAGUAAAUUCUGAUUUACUUGGCU